rnacentral:rRNA from 1 species
GAUGAACGCUGGCGGCGUGCCUAAUACAUGCAAGUCGAGCGAACAGAUGAGGAGCUUGCUCCUCUGACGUUAGCGGCGGACGGGUGAGUAACACGUGGAUAACCUACCUAUAAGACUGGGAUAACUUCGGGAAACCGGAGCUAAUACCGGAUAAUAUAUUGAACCGCAUGGUUCAAUAGUGAAAGACGGUUUUGCUGUCACUUAUAGAUGGAUCCGCGCCGCAUUAGCUAGUUGGUAAGGUAACGGCUUACCAAGGCAACGAUGCGUAGCCGACCUGAGAGGGGGAUCGGCCACACUGGAACUGAGACACGGUCCAGACGCCUACGGGAGGCAGCAGUAGGGUAUCUUACGCAAUGGGCGAAAGCCUGACGGAGCAACGCCGAGUGAGUGAUGAAGGUCUUCGGAUCGUAAAACUCUGUUAUUAGGGAAGAACAAAUGUGUAAGUAACUAUGCACGUCUUGACGGUACCUAAUAAGAAAGCCACGGCUAACUACGUG